rnacentral:tRNA from 1 species
GGAGCCGUAGUGUAGUGGUUAGCAUAUCUGCCUGUCACGCAGAAGGUCGCGGGUUCAAGUCCCGUCGGCUCCGCCA